AGGCAGCAGUGGGGAAUAUUGGACAAUGGGCGCAAGCCUGAUCCAGCCAUGCCGCGUGUGUGAAGAAGGCCUUCGGGUUGUAAAGCACUUUUGUUCGGGAAGAAAAGCUACCGGUUAAUACCCGGGAGUCAUGACGGUACCGAAAGAAUAAGCACCGGCUAACUUCGUGCCAGCAGCCGCGGUAAUACGAAGGGUGCAAGCGUUACUCGGAAUUACUGGGCGUAAAGCGUGCGUAGGUGGUGAGUUAAGUCUGUCGUGAAAGCCCCGGGCUCAACCUGGGAAUGGCGAUGGAUACUGGCUCGCUAGAGUGCGGUAGAGGAGAGUGGAAUUCCCGGUGUAGCAGUGAAAUGCGUAGAGAUCGGGAGGAACAUCAGUUGCGAAGGCGGCUCUCUGGACCAACAUUGACACUGAGGCACGAAAGCGUGGGGAGCAAACAGGAUUAGAUACCCUGGUAGUCCACGCCCUAAACGAUGCGAACUGGACGUUGGGAGCAAUUAGGCUCUCAGUGUCGAAGCUAACGCGUUAAGUUCGCCGCCUGGGGAGUACGGUCGCAAGACUGAAACUCAAAAGAAUUGACGG
rnacentral:rRNA from 1 species